UCGUAUGUAAAUGAGGGCGCGUGACGCGGGACGCAGAUGGACCAGGGAAGAGAGAGGAUGGACUCCGCCGCCGUCCCACAGUGCGGGAGCCAUCGGUGCUCGGCGGAGAGGAGAGGAUUCCGACGGGAACUCGACUCCUGGCGCCACCGCCUCAUGCACUGUGUAGGUUUUGAGAGUAUUUUAGAAGGGCUUUAUGGACCACGGCUACGAAGACAUCUCAGUUUAUUUGAAGAUACUGGGAUCGGAAACCAAGAUGGCGGCAUAGGUAAAC